CCAGAUACACCAUGCCAAGGCUGAGGACCAGAUACACCAUGCCGAGGCUGAGGACCAGAUACACCAUGCCGAGGCUGAGGACCAGAUACACCAUGCCGAGGCUGAGGACCAGAUACACCAUGCCGAGGCUGAGGACCAGAUACAUCUCCUUCCUGUCUUCAGGGCAA
rnacentral:antisense_RNA from 1 species